rnacentral:rRNA from 1 species
UACGAGAGGCCCAAACGUUAUUCGGAUUUACUGGGCUUAAAGAGUCCGUAGGCGGCGCAGAAAGUGGGGUGUGAAAGCCCUCGGCUUAACCGAGGAAUUGCGCUCCAAACUCCUGUGCUUGAGGAAUCUAGAGGUGAGCGGAACUGAUGGUGGAGCGGUGAAAUGCGUUGAUAUCAUCAGGGACACCGGAGGCGAAGGCGGCUCACUGGGGAUUUUCUGACGCUGAGGGACGAAAGCCAGGGGAGCGAACGGG